rnacentral:rRNA from 1 species
ACUAACAAGGAUUCCCCUAGUAACGGCGAGUGAAGAGGGAAGAGCCCAAGAUUGAAAGCUGGCGUCUUCGGCGUCCGCAUUGUAAUCUCAAGAAGUGUUUUCCGCUUCGGACCAUGCCUAAGUCCCUUGGAAAAGGGCAUCAUAGAGGGUGAGAAUCCCGUACAUGGCAUGGAGCGCCCGAGGCUUUGUGAUACGCUUUCUAAGAGUCGAGUUGUUUGGGAAUGCAGCUCAAAAUGGGUGGUAAAUGCCAUCUAAGGCUAAAUAUUGGGGAGAGACCGAUAGCGAACAAGUACAGUGAUGGAAAGAUGAAAAGAACUUUGAAAAGAGAGUUAAACAGUACGUGAAAUUGCCAAAAGGGAAGGGUAGGAGGUCAGAGAUGUGUCUUGGGAUUCAGCCUUGCAUUUUUUGUUUGGUGUUUUUCCCAAGUUUGCAGGCCAACGUCGGUUUUGGGCACUGGAGAAGGGUGGAAGGAACGUGGCACCUCUCGGGGUGUGUUAUAGCCUUCUACUGGAUACAGCGACCGAGACCGAGGACAGCAGCGUACUCGCAAGAGCGGGCCUUCGGGCACCUUUACGCUUAGGGCGUUGGCAUAAUGGCCCUCUACCACCCGUCUUGAAACACGGACCAAGGAGUCUAACAUGUAUGCGAGUCUUUGGGUGGCAAACCCAUAGGCGCAAUGAAAGUGAAUUCAGGUGGGAUCCGCAAGGUGCACCAUCGACCGAUCCUCACGUCUUUUUAAGUCGUGGAUUUGAGUAAGAGCAUACCUGUUGGGACCCGAAAGAUGGUGAACUAUGCCUGAAUAGGGUGAAGCCAGAGGAAACUCUGGUGGAGGCUCGUAGCGGUUCUGACGUGCAAAUCGAUCGUCAAAUUUGGGUAUAGGGGCGAAAGACUAAUCGAACCAUCUAGUAGCUGGUUCCUGCCGAAGUUUCCCUCAGGAU